GGGCCGCUAGCUCAACUGGUAGAGCAGCUGACUCUUAAUCAGUAGGUUCGGGGUUCGAGUCCCUGGCGGCCCACCA
rnacentral:tRNA from 1 species